rnacentral:lncRNA from 1 species
CCCAGCACUUUGGGAGGCCGAGGCGGGCGGAUCACAAGGUCAGGAAAUCGAGACCAUCCUGGCGAACACUGUGAAACCCCGUCUCUUCUAAAAAUACAAAAAAAAAUUAGCCAGGCGUGGUGGCGGGCGCUUGUAGUCCCAGCUACUCAGGAUGCUGAGGCAGGAGAAUGGCGUGAACCCGGGAGGCGCAGCUUGCAGCGAGCCAAGAUGGCGCCGCUGCACUCCAGCCUGGGCAGCAGAGCGAGACUCCAUCUCAAAAAAAAAAAAAAAAAAAAAGAAAAGAAAAGAAACUGGCGGACAAAGGAAGAGAUCCUCCUUCAGGCAGGGUAGGGAAGAAGGGCACUCGGUGACCAGAGACCUUUUCCAGGACCAUGUCUUUGAAGCAAAUCUCAGCUCUUGUCUUCCGGAAGCGAUGGAGACAGAAUCCAGAAGCCUGAGAAGUUUCUGAGCUAUCUAAUUACCAAGUGCAGGGCACAGAGCCGUGAUGAGGGAGACAUGAUCUCAGUCUGGAAGACAGACUAUUAAGCCAAAUAUUCCAAAACACUGUGGAGGGUGUUGUGAAUUGGAAACCAAGGACGGAUCACAGCUUGGGAGGAUCAAGCCACCACUCCACACAGCUGUUAAACAACUUCCGCAGACUCUCUCCUUUCCUGGCUUUGAUGAAGCAAGCUGCCACACUGGAGAGGCCUACAUGAUAAGGACCUGAAGGUGGCCUCCAGCUAGCUCCAGCCAACAGUUGGCAAGGAAUUGAGGACCUGAGUCCAAUAGACCUUGAGGAACUGAAUCCUGCAACAGCUACACAAGUGAGCAUGGCAGUGUAUCCUUCCCCAGUAAAGCCUUCAGAUGAGACCCCAGCCCCAGCUGACACCUUGAUUGAAGCCUUGUGAGAGACCCUGAAGCAGAGAAACCAGCUAGGCCUUGCCUGGAUUCCUGAUCCACAAACUCCUGAAAGGUUUUAGAGUAAACUUUUUGUACUUUUAUGAAAUAAUAGUGUUUUAAUUACAGGACAUCUGAAAAGUGUCAAAAGAUCCUAGGAUAAGACUGAGGAGGCCAUUAUCAGGCUCCCUACAAGGGACUGGUCAUCUUUUAGAAGCCAAAAGAGAAAAAUGGCUUUUGUGAUGCCCUAUAAUUACAUGAACUCUACUAAAAAGAGGGAUACUGGAAAGAAGAAUAAUGUUGAGACACCUUUGCAGAAGAAAAAACAACUUCCUCUCUUCCUCUACUUCACUCUGGCAAGUUCUCCAACCUGACAAGCCAGUAGGGUGAGUAACAGGAUAGUGAUGAAGUUAGAAGCAAAGAGAUCUUAUAGGAGCCUGAGUAGAAUGCCCCUUAGGGGUGCCCUUAGUUGAUUGGUCUUGAAGAACCUCAAGGAUCUGUAGAAAAGCUCAAAUUGUCAUUGAUAAUAUUAACAUGGUUCACAUAUGUAAGUGGCUUCAUUUAUAAAGUCCUUUUACAUACAGUAUUCCAUGUGAUGCUCAAAACCAUCACAUGGGG